GACGAACGCUGGCGGCGUGCCUAAUACAUGCAAGUUGAGCGCUGAAGGUUGGUACUUGUACCGACUGGAUGAGCAGCGAACGGGUGAGUAACGCGUGGGGAAUCUGCCUUUGAGCGGGGGACAACAUUUGGAAACGAAUGCUAAUACCGCAUAAAAACUUUAAACACAAGUUUUAAGUUUGAAAGAUGCAAUUGCAUCACUCAAAGAUGAUCCCGCGUUGUAUUAGCUAGUUGGUGAGGUAAAGGCUCACCAAGGCGAUGAUACAUAGCCGACCUGAGAGGGUGAGCGGCCACAUUGGGACUGAGACACGGCCCAAACUCCUACGGGAGGCAGCAGUAGGGAAUCUUCGGCGAUGGACGAAAGUCUGACCGAGCAACGCCGCGUGAGUGAGGAAGGUUUUCGGAUCGUAAAACUCUGUUGGUAGAGAAGAACGUUGGUGAGAGUGGAAAGCUCAUCAAGUGACGGUAACUACCCAGAAAGGGACGGCUAACUACGUG
rnacentral:rRNA from 1 species